rnacentral:rRNA from 1 species
GAUGAACGCUGGCGGCGUGCUUAACGCAUGCCAGUCGAACGAUGAAGCCCAGCUUGCUGGGUGGAUUAGUGGCGAACGGGUGAGUAACACGUGAGUAACCUGCCCUUGACUCUGGGAUAAGCCUGGGAAACUGGGUCUAAUACUGGAUAUGACUUCUCAUCGCAUGGUGGGGGGUGGAAAGAUUUAUUGGUCUUGGAUGGACUCGCGGCCUAUCAGCUUGUUGGUGAGGUAAUGGCUCACCAAGGCGACGACGGGUAGCCGGCCUGAGAGGGUGACCGGCCACACUGGGACUGAGACACGGCCCAGACUCCUACGGGAGGCAGCAGUGGGGAAUAUUGCACAAUGGGCGCAAGCCUGAUGCAGCGACGCCGCGUGAGGGAUGACGGCCUUCGGGUUGUAAACCUCUUUCAGUAGGGAAGAAGCGAGAGUGACGGUACCUGCAGAAGAAGCGCCGGCUAACUACGUG